rnacentral:rRNA from 1 species
GAUCAUGGCUCAGGAUGAACGCUAGCGGCAGGCUAACACAUGCAAGUCGAGGGGCAGCGUGGAGUAGCAAUACUCUGACGGCGACCGGCGAAAGGGUGAGUAACGCGUGAGCAACAUGCCCGUAGUUGGGGGAUAGUCGAUGGAAACGUCGCGUAAUACCCCGUAACAACAGAGGCCGCAUGACCUUUGUUUAAGAGAUUUAUUGUCUACGGAUUGGCUCGCGUACCAUUAGCUAGUUGGCGGGGUAACGGCCCACCAAGGCGACGAUGGUUAGGGGUUCUGAGAGGAAGGUCCCCCACAUUGGAACUGAGACACGGUCCAGACUCCUACGGGAGGCAGCAGUGAGGAAUAUUGGUCAAUGGCCGAGAGGCUGAACCAGCCAUGCCGCGUGCGGGAUGACGGCCCUAUGGGUUGUAAACCGCUUUUGUUGGGGAGCAAUAAGGUUCACGUGUGGACUGAUGAGAGUACCCAGCGAAUAAGCAUCGGCUAACUCCGUGCCAGCCGCAGC